UAGCGUUUUCCUAAAUAAAAGGAGGAAAUAAUUGUUCAAGGAAACAAUCAAUAAUAAGUCCAUAAACACAAAAUUAAUCAUACAAUAAACCGCACAAUGCAGUAUAGACAACACUACAUUCAUCUUUUGAGACUUGGAUGAAUUCAUUGUUUGCAACACUGGAUUGUGUUUGGAUACGUGGAUACGAGAAAUCUAAGAAUUUCAAGUUUUUGACUUAAAUCCGUAUAAAUAGACCAAUUUCUUUUAAAUUAAAAAUAAAAUUCACUCUUGAGUUUUAAGAGCAGAAUAAAAGAAUUUUAAAUACAUCCACCAUUUCGUCCAUCUCAACUUUGCCUCUAAUACUUCACUCUCAUUUCUCUAUUCAAAGUAGAUGUUAAUUGAAAUUCUGAAAUAUUUUAAAAUAUAUAUUCAAAUGGAGGAUUUAAAAUCCAUAAAUAUUUGAAAUCCUUAGACUAUGUUUGGAUCCCGAAUUUGGUGAGAAGAAAUAAAAUAAAAAUAUUAAAUUAUCUAAUGAUUCUGACAAUUAGAUUGUCUACCUAACUUUUUUUUUUUACCUCAGAAUCCAAACAAAUUUAAAAUCCACUUAUUCAAACGUAGAUAUUGCCAGAAAUGGGAAGCAUUGCCCUAAAAUGUAGAAAUGGGACCUCCAUUACAUUACAUAAUAUUAUCACCCAAUGAGUGCGAACAAGAACCCAAUGGUCAAGUUCUUUGAACAUAAUUAAUAACAACAUGAUAACUAAGGUUAAGCUCUUACGGAUACAUUAGUAUAUUAUUAUAGGUGGAUCAUGGAAACUCCAUAAAGAUGACACAUGGGGAAUUCUGAGGGAUUAUGGAUAUGGAGGAGGAGGAGGAGGAGGGCCCAUUGGACCACCAAAGCAGUCUUGGAACAACCAGCAGCAGCACAAGAAGCUAAGGCUGCAAAUCAAAACACACAACAAAAGUUAUAAGAUGAAUGUGGUUAAGAAUCAAACUCAAAGUUACCACAUGCAAAUAGGACGAGUAAUGAUAUACAAACAGAAAUCUUGUACGGAAAUUAACGUUAUUUGUCUUUUUAUUUUACGAUAAAAUACCCUGACUUAUAGCUUUAAGAUUGCCACUAUCGAUCGUAUCACUCUAGUAUUGAUUUAUGUAAAAAAAAAAUUAUUCGUACUCAAAACUCAAAGAUUUCUUUUUCAAACACCUGACAAGGAAAAACAGACAGAAAAAGGAGUUUGAACAAGGCCGAUCUUGAGAUUUUUGAAGCUCAAAGCAAGCUCUUAACUUGGAGCCCCUAUCCUCUAUGUGAUAAUGCUUGCCUAAUGGAAGUUCUUAUAGUGCUAAGUACAUUAAGAUGUGUUUUUUUGGGACCUAAAGGCGGUGUCUUUGCCAGCCAAUGCCAGGGCGGGGCCUGAGUUUGAACUGCUAGAAGUCUACUUACCAAGCAGACAUGGCAUUGCAGAACCCACCAAAGAGGCCUAGCCCAGGCAGAGGACCCGGGAUCGGCCCACCUGGAGGCGAGCCCCAGCCCAGCGGUCCUCCUGGUCCCAUCGAAAAGCGUAACUCUCUCACAACUCACAAGUAGUAUUAGUCUAUAGUUGCAAAUUAAAAGCCACAAGAAUAGAAUAUCUGUCGCUGUGAAGAGACCCUGGAGCUAUAUAAAGAGAGAUUUAGCUUAGUGUAGAAGCAUCCUAUUUCCCAUUCACACACUGUCUCAUUGUUUCUCAUCUGCCAUUCUUCAAACUACCUGUCAAAAAGCUAUGGAACUUAAUGUUCUAUUCUUGCAUGUCACAAGACUCACAACUCGUGAUAAGUGUUUGCAAGCGUGAGCGUGAAUCAUCUGUUUGGUCAGAAAAAUGUUGCUGUCACAUAGCUUAGGCCAUGUUUGACAAGACACUUUAAUUUAAAGGGAUUAGUAAUUCAAUUUUAAUUUUUUUAAAGUAAUAGUUUGAUGGGAUUAAAUUAGUAAAUAUCAAUCUUACGGAAUUUCUAAUCAUUCAUUUUUAAGAGAUUAACAGUCUUAACGGACUAUUAGUCCAAAGUAUAAUUUUUACACUAGAACAUGGUUAAAGUGGGUUAUACAGGACUAAUAGUCAAAUCCCACCUUCAAAAUCUAUUAUCAAACGUAACCUUAGACUGAGGUUGAAAAAUAGUAUUGUCAUAGCCGUUUUAGUUUGAGAUUUGUUUUGUUUUUUUCUAGUUUUUUUUUCACCAUUUGAUAAAUGUUUUACAGUUUUUCAAUUCUAAAUCUAAAAAUGUAAAAAUAUGAUUAUUUUUUUUUCUAAAAAAAAUUACUAGACAAAAAAAAAAGGUUUUUAAUUGAGUAAAAAAAUUGUCUAUAUUGGGUUUUUUUAUUAGAGAGGGGCAUAAGGUUAAAAGUGUAUUUAUAAAUUUUUUUGUGGGGGUUUAGAGAGCAUUUUUGACACAACGUUGUUAGCUUUAAAAAUUUUUUACAUCGUCCAGCAAAGUUUAAAGUACACAUCGUGUGUAUUAUAAAAAUAUUUUGAUCGAUUAUGAUGAAUAU
rnacentral:lncRNA from 1 species